rnacentral:rRNA from 1 species
CGCGAAGAACCUUACCUGGGCUUGACAUCCCUGGAAUUUGCUGGAAACAGUGAGGUGCCUGCAACCGCAGGAGCCAGGAGACAGGUGCUGCAUGGCUGUCGUCAGCUCGUGUCGUGAGAUGUUGGGUUAAGUCCCGCAACGAGCGCAACCCUCGCCUUUAGUUGCCAGCAUUGAGUUGGGCACUCUAAAGGGACUGCCGGUGUCAAACCGGAGGAAGGCGGGGAUGACGUCAAGUCCUCAUGGCCUUUAUGUCCAGGGCUACACACGUACUACAAUGGUCGGUACAAAGGGCAGCGAGUCAGCGAUGACAAGCAAAUCCCGAAAAGCCGGUCUCAGUUCGGAUUGGAGUCUGCAACUCGACUCCAUGAAGUUGGAAUCGCUAGUAAUCGUGGAUCAGAAUGCCACGGUGAAUACGUUCCCGGGCCUUGUACACACCGCCCGUCACACCACGAAAGUCGGUUGUUCCAGAAGCGGUUGCGCCAACCGUAAGGAGGCAGGCCGCCAAGGAAUGGCUGGUAAUUGGGGUGAAGUCGUAACAAGGUAGCCGUAGGGGAACCUGCGGCUGGAUCACCUCCUUU